rnacentral:rRNA from 1 species
ACGGAAGGCAGCAGUGGGGAAUAUUGGGCAAUGGGCGAAAGCCUGACCCAGCAACGCCGCGUGAAGGAAGAAGGUCUUCGGAUUGUAAACUUCUUUUAUGUAGGACGAAGAAAGUGACGGUACUACAUGAAUAAGCCACGGCUAACUACGUGCCAGCAGCCGCGGUAAUACGUAGGUGGCAGGCGUUAUCCGGAUUUACUGGGUGUAAAGGGCGCGUAGGCGGGGAUGCAAGUCAGAUGUGAAAUCUAUGGGCUCAACCCAUGAACUGCAUUUGAAACUGUAUCUCUUGAGUGCUGGAGAGGUAGAUGGAAUUCCUAGUGUAGCGGUGAAAUGCGUAGAUAUUAGGAAGAACACCAGUGGCGAAGGCGAUCUACUGGACAGUAACUGACGCUGAGGCGCGAAAGCGUGGGGAGCAAACAGGAUUAGAUACCUUGGUA